GCACCGUUGGUCUAAUGGUUAGGAUUCAUCCUUCCAAGGAUGAGGUCGGGGUUCGAUUCCCGACGGCGCA
rnacentral:tRNA from 1 species